UACGGAGGGUGCAAGCGUUAUCCGGAUUCACUGGGUUUAAAGGGUGCGUAGGUGGGCAGGUAAGUCAGUGGUGAAAUCCCCGAGCUUAACUUGGGAACUGCCAUUGAUACUAUCUUUCUUGAAUACCUUGGAGGUGAGCGGAAUAUGUCAUGUAGCGGUGAAAUGCUUAGAUAUGACAUAGAACACCAAUUGCGAAGGCAGCUCACUACACGGUCAUUGACACUGAGGCACGAAAGCGUGGGGAUCAAACAGG
rnacentral:rRNA from 1 species